rnacentral:rRNA from 1 species
UACGUAGGGUGCGAGCGUUAAUCGGAAUUACUGGGCGUAAAGUGUGCGCAGGUGGCCGCGCAAGUCGAGUGUGAAAUCCCCGAGCUUAACUUGGGAAUUGCGCUCGAAACUACGUGGCUAGAGUGUGGCAGAGGGGGGGUGGAAUUCCGCGUGUAGCAGUGAAAUGCGUAGAGAUGCGGAGGAACACCGAUGGCGAAGGCAGCCCCCCUGGGCUGACACUGACGCUCAGGCACGAAAGCGUGGGGGAGCAAACAGG